rnacentral:rRNA from 1 species
UCUUGGUCAUUUAGAGGAAGUAAAAGUCGUAACAAGGUCUCCGUAGGUGAACCUGCGGAGGGAUCAUUACACAAAUAUGAAGGCGGGCUGGAACCUCUCGGGGUUACAGCCUUGCUGAAUUAUUCACCCUUGUCUUUUGCGUACUUCUUGUUUCCUUGGUGGGUUCGCCCACCACUAGGACAAACAUAAACCUUUUGUAAUUGCAAUCAGCGUCAGUAACAAAUUAAUAAUUACAACUUUCAACAACGGAUCUCUUGGUUCUGGCAUCGAUGAAGAACGCAGCGAAAUGCGAUAAGUAGUGUGAAUUGCAGAAUUCAGUGAAUCAUCGAAUCUUUGAACGCACAUUGCGCCCUUUGGUAUUCCAAAGGGCAUGCCUGUUCGAGCGUCAUUUGUACCCUCAAGCUUUGCUUGGUGUUGGGCGUCUUGUCUCUAGCUUUGCUGGAGACUCGCCUUAAAGUAAUUGGCAGCCGGCCUACUGGUUUCGGAGCGCAGCACNAGNCGCACUCUCUNNCAGCAAAGGUCUAGCAUCCAUUAAG